rnacentral:lncRNA from 1 species
AUGCAAGUGAUAGUUUCAUUAGAUUUCAUCUUAAAUAGUUCAUAUUUAUGAACUAGUAUGUUUAUUUUAGAUUCUUUUACUUGAUUCGUGCCCUCGUGGGUCACUUCAAGCCUAUCCCAUAUCUCUUUUGCAGAAUUGCAAGUUGAGACUCUAUUGAAUUCAUUAUGGUCUAAGGCACAAUAAAGCACAUUCAUUGCUUUGGCAUUUAGCUGUGCCUUCC